rnacentral:rRNA from 1 species
UACAGAGGGUGCAAGCGUUAAUCGGAAUUACUGGGCGUAAAGCGUGCGUAGAACGGUUACAUAAGUCGGGUGUGAAAGCCCCGGGCUCAACCUGGGAAUUGCAUUCGAGACUGCGUAGCUAGGGUGCGGAAGAGGGAAGCGGAAUUUCCGGUGUAGCGGUGAAAUGCGUAGAUAUCGGAAGGAACACCAGUGGCGAAAGCGGCUUCCUGGUCCAGCACCGACGUUCAGGCACGAAAGCGUGG